rnacentral:lncRNA from 1 species
GGGGCCAGGGGGUCUGGUUUUAUAGUCCCCUCAAGUGAACCUGGGCCGUCGGAUCAAACCGACAAUGAUUGAACGGUUAUUCUUGAUCCUUUAGGUCGGUGGAGCAUAAUCCGCGAGAUUGAGCGUGAUUGGCCGAAAAAGGUGGGCGGGCGCCCUAAGGACUUGGGCGGGCGCCCUGUCCCUGACUCCGUUCAGUCUCCGCUUCCCUCCCGUGGCUUCUGGAGUCUUCUAGAUGUAAGAUAAUUGCGCGGCACGUUGAUAUCUCUAUGUAAUCCCGACGUGUGGGCCUUUCUUCCUUAUUUCCUCAUAACCCUCUGCAGAAAUAGACAAACACCAAAACUCGUGGAAUUAUGUCAGAUAAAACCCUAAGUCUUGAUGUUGAAUUCAUUUGGAUCCUUUUCUUUGUUUAUUUGAUAGUUAAUUUUGAUACUUAAGGACCGUCAACAAACUCCCCCAAGCUUACCUCUUGCUCGUCCCUGAGUAAGGAUAGACUCAGCUAUGGAUCAUAAGUUGUUGCAAUAUCUUUAAAAAUUGACGGUACACAUGCUUUUAAAUGAGGUCUCAUCUCUGAGUUAGAGUAAACUGUCAAGACUUAAAACUUACUUACUUUACCUUUCACCAUGGGACUUGUAACCGUCACUUCUGUCUUGAGUGGUUAAAAGAUAGAACAGUCUUGUCAAGUGCCAUGUCUCUUAUUCUUGAUCAGCUAUAGCUCUGGAGUUUUUGCAGAUUUUUAAAUAAAACUCAGAGAUUCCUUUGUAUGACUCUCUCAUAUCUCUCUUUUGUGGUAUUUCUGGAUCCUUACCAAGGCAGUGAUGGUAUAUGCCUUCUCUCAAGAUAUGUGGUAUUUGUGGUAUAAGGCAUAGUGACAUUGCCUUCUCUCUCACCCUACUCUAAUAAGGCUUUAAUAUCUGGAGCUCAUAGGUGGGAGAUAAAGUAUACAUACUUACAAGACAUUUAUUGUAUAGUCAAACCAUGGAUCCAAAGAAACAAAUCAAUAAGCCAAAUCAAGAUGUGCAUGUGUGGCGAAUGAAUAGUUUAUGGUGAUGAUGGUGAUAACAAUGGUGAAAGUCUAAUUCUACUUUUGCUCUUUUGAGGGGAUACAUACCUUCCUUGCUUUUUGAAACUUUAUGAGGAGAAUGAGAUGCUCUUCUUUUUUCUUUUCUCUCAGAUGGGUAUCCUGUACCCCUAAUUCUACUGUCGGACACUUGUCCAUUUUUACCUCUUGUCUCACUCUUUUUCUUUUCUUUCGAGGUUCCGGGCACUUGCCCCUUUUUAUUUCCUCGUUUAUUUUUUUUCUUUUUUUUCAGAGCACUCAUCUCUUGAGAUAAUAUAGCAAGUGGUAGUAGCAAGAUAACUUGAGCAUUUAUUUCACAAGGGAAAAACACAGAUGUUUUUGGCUAUUCUCUCCCGAAUUAGGAGUAGAAUAUUUUUAGGUGAUUCUGGAGAUGGAAAUGGAUGGAUAUAUGUGGAUGGUACUUCUGGAGUAGAAGUAGCAUAUAUGAGUGAACGUGCAAGUGAAUCUUGAUUUAACCACAUGACAAGCUCCUAAGGGUCUACACAGCUUGACCACACUCAAUGCUCAUAAGCAGUAAAUAAUAAAUGUGUGGCUCAAAGUCUAGCAAGCAUGUAUAUAUGGCUGUGGUAGGAAUUUAAACUUUCAUCAUACAGGAACUCAUCGUGCAACAUUUUAAAGAUUUUCAAAGAUAAAAUUCUCCAUAAUUCUAGCAUCUCUAGGAAUAGAUAAACAGCAGCUCAACCUUCCCAUAUCAUAUCCGUUAACAACUUAGAUUUCAGAUCAAGUUUUCAUCCCAUAAGUUUAGAUCUAGAGCAAGCUUUAAAUUAUAACAGUUAUGUCUAAACUUGAGAGAGAACAUCAAAUUUGCAAAUUAGGCAGAGCAACUAUUCAUCAUAUCCAUGCUAGAGUUUUAUUAUUAAGAUUCAUAGCAAACUUUAUUUAUUUAUUUAUUUAGCAAACUAAGAAAAGAUAUAUAUAUAUAAGCAUAAAAUCUUUAUUUGGUUUUUCAUAGUUUAUGUAUUUUAAUAUUCUAAUAUAAUAUAAGUAUAAAGAUAGGUAGAAAUACUUAGCGAGAUAAAUAGGGGUGCUCUCCCCCAAGCUGAAUUUUGACGUAAUUUCUCUUGAUGUAGCUAGCAGGUGGCAGAGGUGUAUUUGAAAGUCAGCAGCAUUCUGACAGCGAUUAGAAUGUCCUCCAUCUGCUAGUCUUCUUGAUUCUUAAAUUCUGUGGAGCUCAAAUAGACAACAAAGCUUGUGGAACUAAUUAAGUGUUAGCAUAAAUAUCUAGCCUUCAUCACGUUGAGCUUCCUCAAUAAAUAUUACUCCCUGUUUUAUAUUUUUAUUUUAUAAAGUGGAAAAGAAAUAUUUAUUUUAUUUUUAUGCCACCACAGUGAAGGUACUUAUGGGUUUUAUGCCACUCGUAUACUCACAUGGGGCUUAGUAUUUUUUAAAAUUUUUAUUUUCUUUUCAAGAUAGCAUGAUUAACUAAUAAUCUAUUUAAGGAAAGUAAAUAAUUAAAUGGAAAAGGGAAUGCAGAAAGGAUAAAUAUGGAUAACUACCAAUCUUACCUUUCGGCGAGGGUUCAAUGUUUUAAGUCUUCUUGUCAAGACUUCUCAUCGUGUUCAUUCUUCAGGUGCGUCAUUUGAUUCAGGUGCGGACCUUGACGUCUGCACCUUUUAAUACGGUGUCACCCAUGUUUUUCGUUUGCCCAGCAGUUCGAAGUGCGGUGUUAGCAGUAUCUUGCUCAGUGUGUUUGUGCUACUAGUGUACCUGCUCAUAGAGACAAGACAGAGAUCAAGUGCAUGGGCCCUGUUGGUGGAAAACACCAACAGAACCAAAAGUGUAUUUGUUCUUCUCUAACCUUAAGCAUAGUGAGCAAGACAAAGUUGAUGGAUGAUAAGUUCAUGAGUGUAGCACAUAUAACAUUUGUCAGAUCAGAUCACUCAACCUUAUGAAAAGAUAAUCUAUCUAUGUAUAUGUAUUUUUCUUUAUAUCUCUCAAUGAUUGAAUGUGUAACAUUUUAGCUCAUAUGAUUAGGAGUGUGGGAUCAUGGAGGUAGUACUAAGAACAAGGAUUAAAGGACUAAACAUGUUGAACCAGUUGGGUUGGUUAAUCUAGAGUUGUAAAUCAUACACGUUUGUCUCUUUUAUUUAUAUGAACGCCAGAACCAAAGAGAAGCUUAUAAAAGUGAUAGUCAAGUACCUUAAGAUGUUACCUUGCUCGAAGAGUGAUGGUACAGUAUCAUCUUGUGGAAGCUUUCCUUUCUUAGCGGUUGUGCGUCGUGUUUGUGGCACCCUCCAUGGAUCAUCUUUCUAUGAUGAAUGAGCUUUGUCCUUCUUGUGCAAAUUGUUAAACUUCAUGUGUCACUCUCUUCGUCUCUUAUGUGAGUUUAUCUCAGGACUUCGCAAAUCGAUAUUGGAAGUUUUUCUGCAGGGGUUAGUCUGACAAAAUAUACCAAUAUCUACUCAAGCAGUUUUUUUAGUUCAAUAACCAAACUAGACUCCAUGUCUAAUCAGAUUAAGGAAGGCUAUUUAACCUAAGCACCAUGCUUAAUUUAAAUGCCAAUGGAAGUAUGGUGAGUACUUCCAAACCAACACUUGCUAGUAAAUAGACAAAGGUAGCAUGACAGCGUUUAUAGAGAUCUACUCAAGUGGAGAUGAAGUAGUGUGAUUAGUAUUUAAUAAAUGGAGCAUGUCUCAAAGGUAGGGACAACCAGCAUAGCAACAUGGCAAAGGAUGUUUUUAUGUAAAGUACUCCCCCAAGCUUGAAUUUUGCAAAAUUCAAGUUUGGAUGAAUUUAAUUCAAUGUUGUAUGAUGAUUGGUUGGACAUACCUUGUGCUUGUCAUUCAUCCGAUCUUCUUGCUCCAAUCUUAGAAAGGUUAGUGACAAGAAUACACGAAGGAAUAUUUUUUUUUUACAAUUAUCCUUAUAUGCUCAAUACACAAGGUAAUGUUGCAAAUAAUUAAAGGCUCAUGUUACGAUCUGAUCAAUGCUUAUUUUAAGACACUAAGCUUGUCCUUGGGAAACCAUCAGUUUAUGUUGGUGAAGUGGUUUCCCCUCCGACGCCAACCUAUAUCUAGAUCAACUCAACGAGAUCUGCAAUAUUUAUUAUAGACAUAUGCAUCGACAACCGCCCUUUUAAAGUUUUUAUAAAUAGAAAGGAAGAGGGGGUUGGAGAUCUCAAGUGUGGUGAUGUCGGAGAGACCAAUAGAUUGGGAAGAUGUUGCAUAUGAGCAUGGAGUAAACGAAGUGGCUAUGAAAUAAAUUCCAUGCUCAUUAAUGUUAUCUUCGUCUCUAAUCUGAAUGUUCGGAGUUUCUCCUGGAUUGGUCUCACCUAUGUCCUCUUCUGUAGUUGGAUGAAUCUCAUCUUCAAAGGGAGUCAAGAACUCACCAUUUGAAAUUAAGCCAAAGUCAGAACCCAUUAAGGCUUCUUCCUUAUCCAUCCAUUCUACACAUUCUAGCCAUUUACAACUUGUGAUCAAAAUAGAGGAGGUGUUAGAAUUUUCUAUAUGGCUUAGCUCUCCUUCUAUGGCAUUAUUUGACAUGCCAUCCUUAUGGUCUUCAUGACUCCUAUGGUUUGGUCGUCUUGGUAAAUUGCUAGGAUCAUCAUGAGACUAAAAAGAAGAGGGAUAAGAGGGAUCUCUAAGGUCAAGGAUGGAUUUAGAACUUGUGAACAUGGAAGGGGAGUAGAUAGAAUUGUCUAUAUGGCUUAGCUCUCCUUCACUUGAUAUGUCAUCCUCGACUUCUUCAUGAUAGGAACCAGGACAUUCUCUAAGAGAAACAUUAUUGCAAUGAUUUGAAUUAUCCCUGCUUAAAGGUCUCUUAUAGAACCAGAAGUCUAAACCAUCAGCAUCUAAAAGAUUUAAGGUCGGAAUUCCUUCCUCCCUUAGAGAAUUUUGGGGUAUUGAUGGUUUAGGAUCGAUAGCUGAAGUUUGGGACUGAAGUGGUUGUGAUCUGGCUAUAGAAACUUCUUCUUCUUGUCUAGGAACUGGUUCUUUCUCUUUCUCAGGGAUAUAAAAGCUAGGAGACUUUCCGCUCAUUAAAUCAAUCAAAUUCCAAGCUUCACUAGCGGAUAGGUGGUGGAAAGAUCCUCCAGAGGCCGCAUGAAGGGUUUGCUUAUCUUCCUUACUAAGGCCCUCAAAAAAGUGAAUUAGAAGAACUUCUUCUGGAAUAGAAAGUUUUGGGCAAGUGAGAGUAAGGUUAAUAAAGCGGUCCCAUGAUUUGCCAAGAGAUUCUUCUUCCAAUUGUCUAAAAGAAAGAUUCUCACCCCGAAGUUCCACCACUUUGGAGAUUGGAAAAUAUUUAGAAAGAAAACUACUAUAUAACUCCUUCCAAUCUCCAUAAACACUCCCUACUUUGAGUUUAUACCAAUGUCUAGCUUUUCCCGUUAAAGAGAACGGAAAGAGCUUCCAUUUAAGGGUCUCAUCGGACAUGCCUUCUAUGCGAAGGAGGUCACAGACUCGAUAAAACUCUCUUAGGUGUGUGUAUGGGUUUUCCUCACCUUCUCCUGAGAAAGGUUGUUUUUGAAUAAAUUCUAUGUAUUCGGGGUCUAUCUCAAAACUAGAUGUUAUGAUAGGCUUUGAAGAUUUUGGUGGUUCGAGAUGUGUGCCCAUAGGUCUAUGAAAUUCAUAGAUAGACAUGUUUGAAUUCAUAAUAGACCAGAGAUCAAGGAUUAGAUAAGAAGAAAGAAUAGCAGAGAUGAGGCAAAGGAUAAAAUAAAAAUAUUUUUUUUGUUAUAUAUAUUUUUUUUAUAAAAUGAUUAAACUAGUUCAUAGUCAACUCAGCUACCGUUUCCCCGGCAACGGCGCCAAAAAUGCUUGUUGACACUUGCUAACACCACUUUAAUACUAGGUUGUCAUCCCCAACGUGGCACUAGAGUGUACUAUGGUAUUUAUACGCACACAGAUAAUCCGCAAGCGCACGGAUACCGUUGAAGCUUUUACCCGGUUAAAGGUUUUAUCGUAUCCACAGGGAAACGGGAGAACUGAUCUACGCUCUAACUUAACCAAGAUAAGUAAAUAGGUGUGAAUAGGAAAGAUGGUAGAAUCGAAUAAGAACAAUAUUAAAGGUAAGAUAACAGUGAGUGAUAAUAUGGGAAUAGAGAAUAGAGCAAUUCUAGUAUAUGGGCGAUGGUAGCAGAAUAGAGAGGAUAACUAUGGUUUCUCUACUUCAAAGGGGUAUGUCUAUGUCUGGGACAAACCACGUGAUAAGAGUACACCACAAAGGAUGCUUAUCCAUAGGCUGAUAAACCCUACCCGUCCUGCUAACGAGAGGUGGACUACAGGGGACCAACGUAACUGUCACUUACGCGGCCUACCACACAAUCCAGCUAGUCAGGGGAUAUCCAUAAGUAAUCUAGGUCUAAGCACCACGCUUACACCUAUACUACAACUCUAACCAAUAGGGUCCUAUAGAUUAGAAGUACUCAAAAGAGUUGUGAACCAGAACAUACAUGAUUAGUAAUUGCAUAAUGAAUUAGAAGUAGAUUACCAGAGUCAUCCCAUGAGCAAGCUUGAUCAUGGCGAAGUACAACCGGAGGAAGAACCGACAGGCCAGCCUCUCCUCUAAUCCUCCUUUGCUCUCCAUCUUGCUACUAUCUAGAUCUACUCUAGUUUAGAGAAGAGAGGAGAGCUCUCAUCUCUAAACCCUAGCUUUUGCUCUGUCUAUGAAUAAUGAAUAAUGAUCAAGGGGUGCCUCCUCCAGGGGCCAGGGGGUCUGGUUUUAUAGUCCCCUCAAGUGAACCUGGGCCGUCGGAUAAAACCGACAUUGAUUGAACAGUUAUUCUUGAUCCUUUAGGUCGGUGGAGCAUAAUCCGCGAGAUUGAGCGUGAUUGGCCGAAAAAGGUGGGCGGGCGCCCUAAGGACUAGGGCGGGCGCCCUGUCCCUGACUCCGUUCGGUCUCCGCUUCCCUCCCGUGGCUUCUGGAGUCUUCUAGAUGUAAGAUAAUUGCGCGGCACGUUGAUAUCUCUAUGUAAUCCCGACGUGUGGGCCUUUCUUCCUUAUUUCUUGAUAACCCCCUGCAGAAAUAGACAAACACCAAAACUCGUGGAAUUCUAUCAGAUAAAACCCUAAGUCUUGAUGUUGAUUUCAUUUGGAUCCUUUUCUUUGUUUAUUUGAUAGUUAAUUUUGAUACUUAAGGACCGUCAACAAACUCCCCCAAGCUUACCUCUUGCUCGUCCCUGAGUAAGGAUAGACUCAGCUAUGGAUCAUAAGUUGUUGCAAUAUCUUUAAAAUUUGACGGUACACAUGCUUUUAAAUGAGGUCUCAUCUCUGAGUUAGAGUAAACUGUCAAGACUUAAAACUUACUUACUUUACCUUUCACCAUGGGACUUGUAACCGUCACUUCUGUCUUGAGUGGUUAAAAGAUAGAACAGUCCCGUCAAGUGCCAUGUCUCUUAUUCUUGAUCAGCUAUAGCUCUGGAGUUUUUGCAGAUUUUUAAAUAAAACUCAGAGAUUCCUUUGUAUGACUCUCUCAUAUCUCUCUUUUGUGGUAUUUCUAGAUCCUUACCAAGGCAGUGAUGGUAUAUGCCUUCUCUCAAGAUAUGUGGUAUUUGUGGUAUAAGGCAUAGUGACAUUGCCUUCUCUCUCACCCUACUCUAAUAAGGCUUUAAUAUCUGGAGCUCAUAGGUGGGAGAUAAAGUAUACAUACUUACAAGACAUUUAUUGUAUAGUCAAACCAUGGAUCCAAAGAAACAAAUCAAUAAGCCAAAUCAAGAUGUGCAUGUGUGGCGAAUGAAUAGUGUAUGGUGAUGAUGGUGAUAACAAUGGUGAAAGUCUAAUUCUACUUUUGCUCUUUUGAGGGGAUACAUACCUUCCUUGCUUUUUGAAACUUUAUGAGGAGAAUGAGAUGCUCUUCUUUUUUCUUUUCUCUCAGAUGGGUAUCCUGUACCCCUAAUUCUACUGUCGGACACUUGUCCAUUUUUACCUCUCGUCUCACUCUUUUUCUUUUCUUUCGAGGUUCCGGGCACUUGCCCCUUUUUAUUUCCUCGUUUAUUUUUUUUUCUUUUUUUUCAGAGCACUCAUCUCUUGAGAUAAUAUAGCAAGUGGUAGUAGCAAGAUAACUUGAGCAUUUAUUUCACACGGGAAAAACACAGAUGUUUUUGGCUAUUCUCUCCCGAAUUAGGAGUAGAAUAUUUUUAGGUGAUUCUGGAGAUGGAAAUGGAUGGAUAUAUGUGGAUGGUACUUCCGAAGUAGAAGUAGCAUAUAUGAGUGAACGUGCAAGUGAAUCCUGAUUUAACCACAUGACAAGCUCCUAAGGGUCUACACAGCUUGACCACACUCAAUGCUCAUAAGCAGUAAAUAAUAAAUGUGUGGCUCAAAGUCUAGCAAGCAUGUAUAUAUGGCUGUGGUAGGAAUUUAAACUUUCAUCAUACAGGAACUCAUCGUGCAACAUUUUAAAGAUUUUCAAAGAUAAAAUUCUCCAUAAUUCUAGCAUCUCUAGGAAUAGAUAAACAGCAGCUCAACCUUCCCAUAUCAUAUCCGUUAACAACUUAGAUUUCAGAUCAAGUUUUCAUCCCAUAAGUUUAGAUCUAGAGCAAGCUUUAAAUUAUAACAGUUAUGUCUAAACUUGAGAGAGAACAUCAAAUUUGCAAAUUAGGCAGAGCAACUAUUCAUCAUAUCCAUGCUAGAGUUUUAUUAUUAAGAUUCAUAGCAAACUUUAUUUAUUUAUUUAUUUAGCAAACUAAGAAAAGAUAUAUAUAUAUAAGCAUAAAAUCUUUAUUUGGUUUUUCAUAGUUUAUGUAUUUUAAUAUUCUAAUAUAAUAUAUGUAUAAAGAUAGGUAGAAAUACUUAGCGAGAUAAAUAGGGGUGCUCUCCCCCAAGCUGAAUUUUGAUGUAAUUUCUCUUGAUGUAGCUAGCAGGUGGCAGAGGUGUAUUUGAAAGUCAGCAGCAUUCUGACAGCGAUUAGAAUGUCCUCCAUCUGCUAGUCUUCUUGAUUCUUAAAUUCUGUGGAGCUCAAAUAGACAACAAAGCUUGUGGAACUAAUUAAGUGUUAGCAUAAAUAUCUAGCCUUCAUCACGUUGAGCUUCCUCAACAAAUAUUACUCUCUGUUUUUAUAUUUUUAUUUUAUAAAGUAGAAAAGAAAUAUUUAUUUUAUUUUUAUGCCACCACAGUGAAGGUACUUAUGGGUUUUAUGCCACUCGUAUACUCACAUGGGGCUUAGUAUUUUUUAAAAUUUUUAUUUUCUUUUCAAGAUAGCAUGAUUAACAAAUAAUCUAUUUAAGGAAAGUAAAUAAUUAAAUGGAAAAGGGAAUGCAGAAAGGAUAAAUAUGGAUAACUACCAAUCUUACCUUUCGGCGAGGGUUCAAUGUUUUAAGUCUUCUUGUCAAGACUUCUCAUCGUGUUCAUUCUUCAGGUGCGUCAUUUGAUUCAGGUGCGGACCUUGACGUCUGCACCUUUUAAUACGGUGUCACCCAUGUUUUUCGUUUGCCCAGCAGUUCGAAGUGCGGUUUUAGCAGUAUCUUGCUCAGUGUGUUUGUGCUCGUAGUGUACCUGCUCAUAGAGACAAGGCAGAGAUCAAGUGCAUGGGCCCUGUUGGUGGAGAACACCAACAGAACCAAAAGUGUAUUUGUUCUUCUCUAACCUUAAGCAUAGUGAGCAAGACAAAGUUGAUGGAUGAUAAGUUCAUGAGUGUAGCACUUAUAACAUUUGUCAGAUCAGAUCGCUCAACCUUAUGGAAAGAUAAUCUAUCUAUGUAUAUGUAUUUUUCUUUAUAUCUCUCAAUGAUUGAAUGUGUAACAUUUUAGCUCAUAUGAUUAGGAGUGUGGGAUCAUGGAGGUAGUACUAAGAACAAGGAUUAAAGGACUGAACAUGUUGAAUCAGUUGGGUUGGUUAAUCUAGAGUUGUAAAUCAUACACGUUUGUCUCUUUUAUUUAUAUGAAUGCCAGAACCUAAGAGAAGCUUAUAAAAGUGAUAGUCAAGUACCUUAAGAUGUUACCUUGCUCGAAGAGUGAUGGUACAGUAUCAUCUUGUGGAAGCUUUCCUUUCUUAGCGGUUGUGCGUCGUGUUUGUGGCACCCUCCAUGGAUCAUCUCUCUAUGAUGAAUGAGCUAUGUCCUUCUUGUGCAAAUUGUUAAACUUCAUAUGUCACUCUCUUCGUCUCUUAUGUGAGUUUAUCUCAGGACUUCCCAAAUCGAUAUUGAAAGUUUUUCUGCAGGGGUUAGUCUGACAAAAUAUACCAAUACCUACUCAAGCAGUUUUUUUAGUUCAAUAACCAAACUAGACUCCAUGUCUAAUCAGAUUAAGGAAGGCUAUUUAACCUAAGCACCAUGCUUAAUUUAAAUGCCAAUGGAAGUAUGGCGAGUACUUCCAAACCAACACUUGCUAGUAAAUAGACAAAGGUAGCAUGACAGCGUUUAUAGAGAUCUAUUCAAGUGGAGAUGAAGUAGUGUGAUUAGUAUUUAACAAAUUGAGCAUGUCUCAAAGGUAGGGACAACCAGCAUAGCAACAUGGCAAAGGAUGUUUUUAUGUAAAGUACUCCCCCAAGCUUGAAUUUUGCAAAAUUCAAGUUUGGAUGAAUUUAAUUCAAUGUUGUAUGAUGAUUGGUUGGACAUACCUUGUGCUUGUCAUUCAUCCGAUCUUCUUGCUCCAAUCUUAGAAAGGUUAGUGACAAGAAUACCCGAAGGAAUAUUUUUUUUUUACAAUUAUCCUUAUAUGCUCAAUACACAAGGUAAUGUUGCAAAUAAUUAAAGGCUCAUGUUACGAUCUGAUCAAUGCUUAUUUUAAGACACUAAGCUUGUCCUUGGGAAACCAUCAGUUUAUGUUGGUGAAGUGGUUUCCCCUCCGACGCCAACCUAUAUCUAGAUCAACUCAACGAGAUCUGCAAUAUUUAUUAUAGACAUAUGCAUCGACAACUGCCCUUUUAAAGUUUUUAUAAAUAGAAAGGAAGAGGGGGUUGGAGAUCUCAAGUGUGGUGAUGUCGGAGAGACCAAU